ensembl:snRNA U1 U1 spliceosomal RNA
AUACUUAUCUGGAAGGGGAGAUACCAUAAUCAUGAAGGUGGUUUUUCCAGGGUGAGGCUAAUCCAUUGAACUCUGAGUGUGCUGACCCCUGUGAUUUCCCCAAAUGUGGGAAACUCCACUGCACAAUUGGUGGUGGUGGAGGGCUGUGUUCCUACUCUGCCCUGGU